UGUAUCUUCACAAACAGCGGCCUGUGUCCAUGGAGGAGCUGAAGAAAUUGCAGGAUGAAAAUAAAUCACUUCUUCAGGAAAUGGAGAUACUAGAGAUGGAAAGGCAGUAUGCGGUGAAAAACUUUCCUGUUAGCAGAAAAUAAGUAGUUGGAACCAGAAUGUGAAAUUUAAGCCAUGAGUACAGAUAUUCCAAGUAAUGGAUCCAGAAGAAACACCAAGAAGGUGUGAAGAGUACAGAAGAACUAGGCCAGAACAGACUGUACAGACGAACUAGGCUACAACAGAAGCUCGUACUAUGGAUCAAUGCAACCUGCCGGUCAUGACUACUGCAAUACAGCUACGCCUGAGUACAUAAUCUCUACAUAUGGAGACAUGUCUCUUUCUCAAGUUCUUUUUUUUUUGACGGAGCUUUCUCAAGUUCUUGGCGACAUCGUAAGUUGACAAUCUCCAGGGAACUAGCUAUUAUUUUUACAAAACAGAGUACUAGAUCUCAUGUCACGGUACUGUAAGUUACUGAUUUAUGUGUGACUAAUUAUCUCCACAUAAAGCAAUGAAGGGACGUUUUGAACCAUCAGCAUAAACCAAGUUUGCAAUUACUCCGCCGGGAAGCAAAAUCUUUCUCUGAAUAAGUUAUAUUCUGAACUUCUUUUUUCUUAACAUAGCCAACAUAGGCCAGUCUAGGACAUAUCAAACAUAAUUUGCUCUCCAUUGUGUAGAAGACUGACCGUUCCUGGUGGGAUUUGCGGAUGAAGGAUGCAGUGGCAAUCGGUUUAUCAUGGGAUGCAAAGUGCUAUGCAAUACAUUGGGAAGCUUAUUCAUGUAUAAGGAAGCUCUGACAUCAGGAAAGUUCGUGACUCGCUAUCCCUCCAAUUGAAAAGGUACAACUUUUUAGAAAUAGUAACAACGUGCAGUUUUUGCACAUAAACCACCUUGUAAGUUUAGUUUGUAUGUUGCCUGCAAAUCAAGUUGGUAGUUUUUCUCAUAGUAGUUGCCUAGUUAAUAAAUGGAAAAAGAUGAGUUGCAAAUCCCUUUUAUAAAUUAUGUAAUU